GCGCAGCAGGCGAGAAUAGUCUACAAUGGACGAAAGUCUGAUAGUGCGACGCCGUGUGUGCGAUUAAUUCCUUCGGGAUGUAAAGCACUUUUCUAUGAGAUAAAAGCUCUUUAGGUUAAUAGCUUAUUGAGACGGAUAUUAUUAUAGGAAUAAGCUCCGGCUAACUCCGUGCCAGCAGCCGCGGUAAUACGGAAGGAGCGAGCGUUGUCCGGAUUAACUAGGCGUAAAGGGCUAGUAGGCGACUAAUUAAGUUAUAUGUUAAAUCCCACGGCUCAACUGUGGUCCUGCAUGUAAUACUGGUUAGAUAGAGUACUGUAGAGGAAGGCAGAAUUCCUGGAGUAGCGGUGGAAUGCGCAGAUAUCAGGAAGAAUACCAAAAGCGAAGGCAGCCUUCUGGGCAGUUACUGACGCUGAAUAGCGGAGGUGUGGGUAGCGAACAGGAUUAGAUACCCCGGUAGU
rnacentral:rRNA from 1 species